rnacentral:rRNA from 1 species
GUAGGGUGCAAGCGUUAAUCGGAGUUACUGGGCGUAAAGCGUGCGUAGGCGGUUUGUUAAGUCCGCUGUGAAAGCCCUGGGCUCAACCUGGGAAUUGCAGUGGAUACUGGCAAGCUAGAGUGCGGUAGAGGAUGGUGGAAUUCCCGGUGUAGCGGUGAAAUGCGUAGAGAUCGGGAGGAACACCCGUGGCGAAGGCGGCCAUCUGGACCAGCACUGACGCUGAGGCACGAAAGCGUGGGGAGCAAACAGGAUUAGAUACCCUGGUAGUCCACGCCCUAAACGAUGCGAACUGGACGUUGGGUGGACUUAGCCACUCAGUGUCGAAGCUAACGCGUUAAGCUCGCCGCCUGGGGAGUACGGUCGCAAGACUG